GCCGGGGUGGCCGAGUGGUCUAAGGCGGUGGGCUCGAGACCCACUGCCCCUAUGCGGGGCGCGCGGGUUCAAAUCCCGCCCCCGGCGCCA
rnacentral:tRNA from 1 species